CCCUUAGAUGUCCUGGGCCGCACGCGCGCUACACUGAAGGAAUCAGCGUGGCUUUCUCCCUGACCCGAAAGGGUUGGGAAACCCGUUGAAUCUCCUUCGUGAUAGGGAUUGGGGCUUGAAAUUGUUCCCCAUGAACGAGGAAUUCCCAGUAAGCGCGAGUCAUAAGCUCGCGUUGAUUACGUCCCUGCCCUUUGUACACACCGCCCGUCGCUACUACCGAUUGAACGGUUUAGUGAGGGCCUCGGAUUGGUCUCGGCCCGCUCUUUACCGGGCGGCGCCGUUGGUCGAGAAGACGCUCGAACUUGAUCGUUUAGAGGAAGUAAAAGUCGUAACA
rnacentral:rRNA from 1 species